ensembl:lincRNA
AUGGAGGCCCAAUCCUCGCAUCCGGGAGCAGUGGCCUCGGGGACAGGGUGGCGAAGGGGCCAGGCUGCAGCUGGAGGCCUGGUCGUCAGGCCCAGACGAGCAGCCUCCCUGGAAAACUGCAAACCGCCCCUGACAAGGACCCUCCCAGGCGCCGGCCUCCCGCUCAGGCGCCGUGGUAAUGGGUUGGAGUCCCGGGGCAGCAAGGAGGCCUUGGCCACCACCUUACAACCCACACAGCCCAGAAAGAGACCAGACCCCUACAGAAUGAGCUGCGAGAGGCCGUGCCUGAGACUGCGGCUCCGGCCACAGGGCCCACCCUCCUGAGCUGGGGCCUGUCGGACACACGAGGGCUGCGGGAGGUGCCCGCAAGAAGGCACAGCCGGAUCUCCUCUGCCCGCUGUGAGAAGGGUGGGGUGACCCCUCCCACUCAGCCUCCUUCUCCUGAAAAAGAGGCAGGGCCGUGCCAGCCCGGUACUGGGGGUCAGGGUCUAGGGCCCCUGCGGGUCCCCCAGAACAAAGGGCUGGUGCGUUGACGACUGGAGGUUCCUUCGACGUUCCCGGCCCGCCUGUCCCCACUGUCAGACCCCUCCCCAUCGUGCGCACAGGGAAGGGUCUGCCUGCCCUGAGAAUGUGGUUUUUCCCCAGGAGACAGACCUCCUGUCUGGAGCCGGGACUGUGAUCGAAAGCUCUGGGUUAAGGAGCACGGGGCGCUUCUGAGGGCCACGGAGGAGCUGGAGCACUCUGCCAUUUUCUCAGACAGAGGUAGUGUUUGCUGACAGCUACACACCAGACGUCAACCGCAGCCCCAAAGCUGGCCUGCACGCUCGCACCAGCCGAGGGACGGAACUCUGACAGAAAGCACAGGCCUCAGUAUUAACACCAAAGCAUCACCAAGGACUCAGGACCCAACUCUGCCCUGGACCGAGGGGGCGGUUCAUCCAGGCUUCUGUCCGGGGAGCCAGCCACGUGGGGCGCCGCUGGUGCCUCGGGUCCCCAGCCACGCACGGCAGGGCUAGCACGUGACGGGGGGCCUCAGGAAGACCUCUGCUCCCACCCGGAACCUUUCUGGUUAUCAGCGUCUCCGAGCUUGCGAGUGAUCAAGGUACAACCCCCAAAGCUCCCUGACCCGGGGUGGGGUCCCUGGACACGGCUGUGGAGGGGGGCCCUGCCCCUGCCGGAGCCUGGACUCCUGCUGCUCCUAAGCGAGUGAGCGCCUCUCCCCACACACGCCCAGAGUCACCAAGUCAGCGUCCUUGAGGGCCCACUCACACUCGUGGGCCCCACUCACCCCCGCCUCCAGCGAGUCCGCCUCCAGCAGCCCGCCCCAUGCCCCUCAGAAGCCCUCACGAAGGUGUUGCUUCUCUCAGGACAGGAAAUCGGGUUGAGGGAGCGAGGCAGGUGGGGCGCUCAGAGCCCAGGUUUUCUCAUGAAGAAACUGUGAUGGGGGGACAGGCGCGCUGAGAGCCCGGCCCGGCUUCGUGGCGUGAGCGCCUGGACGGACUGCGGGGCUUGGGGCCUGUCCAGCAUCUACGCCCUGGGCACGCGCAGCAGGGGCACCAAGGACGGACUGUAACAGCACAGACUCGGGGAUGAGCCAGGCCGCCCGAGCUCGGGGCAGGCGCUGCCACAGCCAGAAGAGCUGCCGCCACCAGCAUCGCCGCGUGGGCUCAGAGGAGAGUUGGCUCCUGGGCGGCCGGGGCGGGCGGCCGGGG